rnacentral:rRNA from 1 species
GAUGAACGCUGGCGGCGUGCCUAAUACAUGCAAGUCGAGCGAACAGACGAGGAGCUUGCUCCUCUGACGUUAGCGGCGGACGGGUGAGUAACACGUGGAUAACCUACCUAUAAGACUGGGAUAACUUCGGGAAACCGGAGCUAAUACCGGAUAAUAUAUUGAACCGCAUGGUUCAAUAGUGAAAGACGGUUUUGCUGUCACUUAUAGAUGGAUCCGCGCCGCAUUAGCUAGUUGGUAAGGUAACGGCUUACUAAGGCAACGAUGCGUAGCCGACCUGAGAGGGUGAUCGGCCACACUGGAACUGAGACACGGUCCAGACUCCUACGGGAGGCAGCAGUAGGGAAUCUUCCGCAAUGGGCGAAAGCCUAACGGAGCAACGCCGCGUGAGUGAUGAAGGUCUUCGGAUCGUAAAACUCUGUUAUUAGGGAAGAACAAAUGUGUAAGUAACUAUGCACGUCUUGACGGUACCUAAUCAGAAAGCCACGGCUAACUACGUG